UUGCGUUAUAAAUAUUCAAUUUUAUGUAAAUUACGCAAAAACCGUUGGGCAUCCUGGAAGCUGCAUGGCGCGUGUUCGCAGGUCGCUGUGCUCUGUGCGAGAUGUUCCUGGAGACUCACUGCUGUUGGGAGCCUGAGAAGAGUACAGAGAUUUGGGUUACAAACUGCUUGGUGUCUAUGCAGUGUGGCGGCAGCAGAUGGAAACCAGGGUAAUGACACAAACGAUGAAGACACAGCCUCCGCCCACCGAUGCUCCAAUGAUGAUUAGCAAGGGGAGGGCCUCUGCAAGGGAAACAGGGAAUGUGACUGAGCUGAAUUACAUCUAUUAUUACAUCUACCUUUUCAGUUGCAGGGAUUAUCUGGCAUGAGGACCCCAUACCUUGCUCUUCAAGAGUGACCAGUGUCGUGCCUGUACCGAAGCGGU